GGGCGACCGGCCACACUGGGACUGAGACACGGCCCAGACUCCUACGGGAGGCAGCAGUGGGGAAUAUUGCGCAAUGGGCGAAAGCCUGACGCAGCGACGCCGCGUGGGGGAUGACGGCCUUCGGGUUGUAAACCUCUUUUACCACCAACGCAGGCUCCCAGUUCUCUGGGGGUUGACGGUAGGUGGGGAAUAAGGACCGGCUAACUACGUGCCAGCAGCCGCGGUAAUACGUAGGGUCCGAGCGUUGUCCGGAAUUAUUGGGCGUAAAGAGCUCGUAGGCGGCGUGUCGCGUCUGCUGUGAAAGACCGGGGCUUAACCCCGGUUCUGCAGUGGAUACGGGCAUGCUAGAGGUAGGUAGGGGAGACUGGAAUUCCUGGUGUAGCGGUGAAAUGCGCAGAUAUCAGGAGGAACACCGGUGGCGAAGGCGGGUCUCUGGGCCUUACCUGACGCUGAGGAGCGAAAGCAUGGGGAGCGAACAGGAUUAGAUACCCUGGUAGUCCAUGCCGUAAACGUUGGGCGCUAGGUGUGGGGACUUUCCACGGUUUCCGCGCCGCAGCUAACGCAUUAAGCGCCCCGCCUGGGGGAGUACGGA
rnacentral:rRNA from 1 species